CCUGAGAAACCCGAAAGAUCGAAUGGGGAGAUUCAUCGUCAGCGAUGCUGGUAUGUGUGCGGGUCGGGAUGCCUCAGAACUUGUUCUCGUGGCACGCGUCCGCACGCUGCACUCUGUUGCCCGGUGUCGUCGGCGUGCACUUCUCCCCUAGUAGGACGUCGCGACCCGUUGGGUGUCGGUCUACGGCCCGGGUGGGCGCCUGUCUCGUGUGUGCUUCACGGCAUCACUGCGGGGCAGACCCCCGGCUGCCCGACCGUCUGCCCGGCGGUACUCGCAAGGUAUCUGGCCGCAAAAAUUCGAACUGCGUCCGGCCCGUCGCAAGCGAGGCAAGUGCUUCCCGAAUGCACGGAUCUAAUGCCGUCAUCGGGCCUUGCCAGCUGUUGGUUGACGGUGUCCUAGGACUGGCUAAACUAAUUAUGAUACCGGUCAGCGACGCUACUGCUUUGGGUACUUUCARGA
rnacentral:rRNA from 1 species